UACGUAGGGGGCUAGCGUUGUCCGGAAUCAUUGGGCGUAAAGAGCGUGUAGGCGGCCCGGUAAGUCCGCUGUGAAAGUCGGGGGCUCAACCCUCGAAUGCCGGUGGAUACUGUCGGGCUAGAGUGCGGAAGAGGCGAGUGGAAUUCCUGGUGUAGCGGUGAAAUGCGCAGAUAUCAGGAGGAACACCGAUUGCGAAGGCAGCUCGCUGGGACGUCACUGACGUUGAGACGCGAAAGCGUGGGGAGCAAACAGG
rnacentral:rRNA from 1 species